rnacentral:rRNA from 1 species
UACGGAGGGUGCAAGCGUUAUCCGGAUUUACUGGGCUUAAAGGGUGCGCAGGCGGAUAUGUAAGUCAGUGGUGAAAUCUCCGGGCUUAACCCGGAAACUGCCGUUGAUACUAUAUAUCUUGAAUGCUGUGGAGGUAAGCAGAAUAUGUCAUGUAGCGGUGAAAUGCUUAGAGAUGACAUAGAAUACCUAUUGCGAAGGCAGCUUACUACGCAGAUAUUGACGCUCAUGCACGAAAGCGUGGGGAUCAAACAGG